AGAGUUUGAUCAUGGCUCAGAUUGAACGCUGGCGGAAUGCUUUACACAUGCAAGUCGAACGGUAACGCGGGGGCAACCCUGGCGACGAGUGGCGGACGGGUGAGUAGCGCAUCGGAACGUGCCCAAUAGUGGGGGAUAGCUCGGCGAAAGCCGGAUUAAUACCGCAUACGACCCACGGGUGAAAGCGGGGGACCGCAAGGCCUCGCGCUAUUGGAGCGGCCGAUGCCCGAUUAGCUAGUUGGUGAGGUAAGAGCUCACCAAGGCAACGAUCGGUAGCUGGUCUGAGAGGACGACCAGCCACACUGGGACUGAGACACGGCCCAGACUCCUACGGGAGGCAGCAGUGGGGAAUUUUGGACAAUGGGGGGAACCCUGAUCCAGCCAUGCCGCGCGCGGGAAGAAGGCCUUCGGGUUGUAAACCGCUUUUGGCAGGAACGAAACGGCGCGCGCCAGUACCGCGCGCUAAUGACGGUACCUGCAGAAUAAGCACCGGCUAACUACGUGCCAGCAGCCGCGGUAAUACGUAGGGUGCAAGCGUUAAUCGGAAUUACUGGGCGUAAAGCGUACGCAGGCGGCUGUGCAAGACAGGUGUGAAAUCCCCGGGCUUAACCUGGGAACUGCAUUUGUGACUGCAUGGCUAGAGUCCGUAAGAGGGGGGUGGAAUUCCACGUGUAGCAGUGAAAUGCGUAGAGAUGUGGAGGAACACCGAUGGCGAAGGC
rnacentral:rRNA from 1 species